rnacentral:rRNA from 1 species
CGCGUAGGCGGUUUGUUAAGUCAGCUGUGAAAGCCCCGGGCUUAACCUGGGAAUUGCAGUUGAUACUGGCCGACUAGAGUACGAGAGAGGGAGGUAGAAUUCCACGUGUAGCGGUGAAAUGCGUAGAUAUGUGGAGGAAUACCGGUGGCGAAGGCGGCCUCCUGGCUCGAUACUGACGCUGAGGUGCGAAAGCGUGGGGAGCAAACA